ACAAUUCUUCGGGGCAGGGUGUAAUUCCCUACCGACGGUAUAGUCCGUGACCCGCUUUGCGGUGGAUUUGGUGAAAUUCCAAAACCGACAGUGAACGCAGCAUAGCUGCAAAGUCUGGAUGAGAGAAGGAAUUG
rnacentral:ncRNA from 2 species